GACGAACGCUGGCGGCGUGCUUAACACAUGCGAGUCGAACGGAAAGGCCCUGCUUUGUGGGGUGCUCGAGUGGCGAACGGGUGAGUAACACGUGAGUAACCUGCCCUUGACUUUGGGAUAACUUCAGGAAACUGGGGCUAAUACCGGAUAGGAGCUCCUGCUGCAUGGUGGGGGUUGGAAAGUUUCGGCGGUUGGGGAUGGACUCGCGGCUUAUCAGCUUGUUGGUGGGGUAGUGGCUUACCAAGGCUUUGACGGGUAGCCGGCCUGAGAGGGUGACCGGCCACAUUGGGACUGAGAUACGGCCCAGACUCCUACGGGAGGCAGCAGUGGGGAAUAUUGCACAAUGGGCGGAAGCCUGAUGCAGCAACGCCGCGUGCGGGAUGACGGCCUUCGGGUUGUAAACCGCUUUCGCCUGUGACGAAGCGUGAGUGACGGUAAUGGGUAAAGAAGCACCGGCUAACUACGUG
rnacentral:rRNA from 1 species